rnacentral:rRNA from 1 species
CAGUAGCCGCGGUAAUACAGAGGGUGCGAGCGUUAAUCGGAUUUACUGGGCGUAAAGCGUGCGUAGGCGGCUUCUUAAGUCGGAUGUGAAAUCCCUGAGCUUAACUUAGGAAUUGCAUUUGAUACUGGGAAGCUAGAGUAUGGGAGAGGAUGGUAGAAUUCCAGGUGUAGCGGUGAAAUGCGUAGAGAUCUGGAGGAAUACCGAUGGCGAAGGCAGCCAUCUGGCCUAAUACUGACGCUGAGGUACGAAAGCAUGGGGAGCAAACAGGAUUAGAUACCCCGGUAGUCCCUGUCUCUUAUAC